rnacentral:misc_RNA from 1 species
AUUUUUUUAAAUAUAUUAGUUAAACAAUAUAAAAAAUUAAUUAAAAAAAUAAAUUUAAUUUAUUUUAGUCAUAAUAAUGUUGAAAUAGCAAAACUUUUUUUUAAUUGUAUUUGUCAGUAAAAUUUAAAAAAUAAUACUUUUUCUGAAAGUGCUUUUUUUAUCCUAAAACUUAGUGCCAAACAGAGCAGUGGACUUCUAGUGGCAGGGUUGAAAGAGGGUUUCUGAAAAUACAGCUAGUGGGUCCAACAGUUGAUCCAGUGGUCUAACAAUGGUCUGUCUUAUAUUCGAAUGCUAUGGCUCUUGUUGAUUGUGCCAUUUGCAAGAAAACUUGAAGCAUCAUCAGAAUUGCAUGCUUAGAAAUCGGAAGUUAACCAGGGAACAAUAUUUUCCUAUUCUUGUAAUGUAUUAUUAUUAUUAUAAUUACUUCAAAAAUUUUGACAGGUUUUCAUUGGAAUAGUUUGAUGGGGCUCAUGUAUUUUCUGUGCUAGAACUUGUCUGAGGGACUGUGGUGGAAGGAUAUAAUACUCCUGACCAUAUUCCUUAACAUUUUUUGGGCUGUAUUUAUAAUAAUAUUAUUGUGCUUGGAUGCUUUGAAGGAGUAGAAUAUUUUUGGUGUGGCUUCGAUAUGAGAAGGUGUGCCUAUAUAUGAGUUUCUUAUUUGAUCUAAAAAGUGGGUAUGCUUCAAUGGUGAUAGGCAUUUUGUCUCUGCGCAGCGAGUAAAUGGCGAGGAAGGGGAUGGGGUAGGUGUGGAUGGUCCCACCCCUACCCACCUACCUGAAACCAACCCCCAACUCCAAGCUGAAGCUUUUCAAUGGUCUCUGGCCAGUGGAUGAUGCUCUUGGCAAUUGGUAGUGUAGUGGGGACUAAUUAAAGUAGGGUUGGAUGGUGACAAUUUGGUAAACAUUUAUCUAUGCAAUAAACUAAUUUUCUGCUACGAAAUUUUAUUAUUUAUAAUCAGACUAUUUUGUCUAAAACCAAAGCAGCAACUUAAAUUGAAAAAUAAGGGAUGGUAGGGCAAUGCAAGUGCUCUUAAGUAAGGUAUAUUCUACAUGUUGG